UGCGGGAGCGGGUGCGGGACGCGGCGCAGGGAGCCAGCGCAGGUGACACCAGCGGCGGCUCUGGGCUCACGCCGCUCGCAGGGCUGGCUGUGCCAGGCGUGCACAUGUCCCUGCCAGGCGUGCACACGGGCGUGUGUGCCCGAACCGGAGAUGUAGAUAUAUAUAUGGGGCUUGAUUUAUAUCUAAUGGCACGUAUAAAGCUUUUGAAGGUGGCUGCAAUGUAAAAAGUAAUGACUUUAUUACCCCUGAAAGGUUCUGCCGUUCGCAGUUAACACUCCUCUGAAUUACAAUUCAUUACGCUCUCUAAAGCCAACCUGCAUCAGAACACCUACCUGUGCUUAUUCCCAAUCACAGGCAUCGUUCAUUGAUUUUCUUUUCUAAAAAUCAUAGCAAAUUAAGCACUUGGUGACAACUAAAUCUGUUUCAUUAUCGUGCCGUGUUUGAGAUUCCAGAGGUGACUUCCCAGAUCGCAUCUCAAAACCUACAGUCAGGAGCUAAUUUUACAGAUGCUUUCAUGAAUGGCAGCGAGGAUGUUCUUACCAUCAGCAUGCCCUUAAUUCCAGCACCGUAAAAAUGCCUCGAUUUAAAUGGAAACUCGCUGCCUUAAAAAUAAUAUUUCAUCCUGGCUGAAUAAUUAUUAAUAUUAGCAUUUGAUCGCAAAAGUGCUGGCUCCCCCUCGUUCCUGUGCCCCCCCACCCCACCCCACAGCGCUUCGCAUUGUCAUGUGAUUGGAGGGAGAUAACAAAUCUCAAGAAAGAAAAGGAGUGAGAAGACAUUUUUAACACGGCAUGACCGCAGAUUAAUAAUGCAGGGUAUGAAUUUGGUACUUCUAGCUCUUCUGAAGCUCCCUACUCAAUGGAAUAUGUAUGGAUACCCCAGGUAAAUCUACAGCUGCCCUGAGGAUUUCACAGGGCACACCUGCCACCCUGACCCACCUGCCUGUUCCUGCACACUGAGAAGAGGCCAGGAACAAGAAAUGACACUUUAGUUAUCUCCAAAGAGGGUCCUAAAUGUGUAAGAUAAAGAGAACAUAAAUAAAUAUCUUUGCUAACA